UUUAAUUCGAAGCAACGCGAAGAACCUUACCAAAUCUUGACAUCCUCUGACUCCUCUAGAGAUAGAGUUUUCCCCUUCGGGGGACAGAGUGACAGGUGGUGCAUGGUUGUCGUCAGCUCGUGUCGUGAGAUGUUGGGUUAAGUCCCGCAACGAGCGCAACCCUUAAGCUUAGUUGCCAUCAUUAAGUUGGGCACUCUAAGUUGACUGCCGGUGACAAACCGGAGGAAGGUGGGGAUGACGUCAAAUCAUCAUGCCCCUUAUGAUUUGGGCUACACACGUGCUACAAUGGACAAUACAAAGGGCAGCGAAACCGCGAGGUCAAGCAAAUCCCAUAAAGUUGUUCUCAGUUCGGAUUGUAGUCUGCAACUCGACUAUAUGAAGCUGGAAUCGCUAGUAAUCGUAGAUCAGCAUGCUA
rnacentral:rRNA from 1 species